rnacentral:lncRNA from 1 species
AUAUAUCAUUUUUUAUUAUCAAUUAGAUAUAUAAAAAUUAUUUUAAAAUAUUAUAAUUUAAGCAUCAACUUUUCAAAAAAUAUUUUGAUAAAAAAAAAUUCUUUUCACGAACUAACAGACGUGAAAAUAGUGAUUCUAUACGCCCCAAUGUCACUUGCAUGUGCGAAUCAAGACAGUAAGAUCCACAUUGACGACGUCGGACGAAGCCACGAACGUUGUCCCCAAAAAAAAAAAAUGAGACUAUGAAUGAGAUUAGGGGGGG